rnacentral:lncRNA from 1 species
AAAGGAUGCCUAUGGAAAUGUAUCUAACAGUGAAUAUUUAGAAUCAGUAAACAUUCUAAUUGGUUACUUUAUUAAAACAUUUAGUUGUGUAAUUAGACAGUUUAUGUUAGCAAUGCAUUGAAGAACUGAAAUGAGGAGGUGAUCUUUUCUGGCCUAAUGUUAUUAAGUAAACAAAGUAAGUUGGACUCUUUCUCAUCAUUAUAUCAGAUUAUAAAUGCAUGAGUAGACAUUGACAUAUACGUUGAGUUGACAAAAUAAAAAGCCUUUUUAGCUCCAAUUAGUUCUCAGUUAAAUUGUCCCAACAAUGGUGUCAGGCAUACAGCACCAAUAAGUUGUCUUUAAACCUGCCUAAUUUCCUUAAUUCUCCCUUUCACUAUUAAUAAAAAUUCAGACAUGAAAGUGUUAACAUUUCCUUUGAAAUUACUCCUAUUUAAGAAGAAAAAUCAUAUUACUUUCUUAAUCUUUCUAAUUCUAUUCUCAUAAGAUGAUCUUGGAUUUGUUCCUUUAACACUGACUCUUAGUACAGUCCUGAUUUCUGUAUUAAUGAAUUGAGAAGAUGGCAUGAGGCUCUUAGAAUAAGGAAUUUCUCAUAUAAAAGAUUGUGACUUUAAGUAACUUGUAGAGAAUUAUCCUAAGAGUGUCUUAGAUUUUAAAACACUGCUGCAGUGUUGUUUACCAUGGUGAGAAUUCAGGAGCAAAGAUUGGGGAUGUCUUUCCCAGGAAGAUGUGCGUUAUUAUGGCUGAACCUGCCCAAUGCUGAGAGAAAUUUUCAGAAGUUACACCAUAGAUAUCGGCUAAAGAAGAUUGAAACUGGAGAGGGAGCUCUCACCACACCAACCUAUAUGACAGUGCUACCACCCCAGGAAUAAAGUGUGUUCUUCCAAGGUGAAGAGGGGAGAUCUCCCACUCCUUUUAACAGCAUAGCUUUCCUUUACUUUAAACCUUGUCAACACAGAAUUUGGCCCAUCAGUCCCCUGACAUGGGGUGAGGUGGGGGGAAACUAGAUUGAAAUAAAAGGAGAUUGACAGGGUUGAUUUCCUUCCUG